rnacentral:sRNA from 1 species
AACACUUCAAGAAGGCUAUUUUGCAGAUGAUCAAACUAAAGUGGACGAACUAUUUCUAAUGCUAUAAUCCCAUGAUACGAGGGUUGUGGUCGUCUAUUUGAACCUGUAGAGGCUGCGAACGAUAGUCCAUAGCUUCUUGGGAACCUGAAACAGAUUCUCUAGUAUUACAUAGGCUUUUACACUCCACUAGGACUGAAAUGAGCCACCCUUUUGGGGUCUUAGCUAGUGAGUCUCUGUGUAGAUCAAGCAGCCAGUAUAGAGCUCUUUCUGGCUCCUAAGAAAAGCAAAUCAGAAAGCCAAU